rnacentral:snoRNA from 1 species
CUUCAGUGAUGAUAAGAUGACGAGUCGGAAGCGGGAGGCUCUUGCUGGGGCGCCUCUGCAGUGGCACGUUCUGUCAGCAGGAGCAUCCCGUCCUCAUUGAACGAUUUAGAGGCAUUUGUCUGAGAAGG